GAGGAAUAAGUUGAUAAGAAAGUGCUGAGAUUUGCAAAACAAAAAUGUAUGGUUUUUGAUUGUCUGAUAAAUUAAAAAGUCAAAUUGUCAAAAUGCAUCUGGUAAACGUGUCAGUUUAUAAAGCAAUGAAUGGUGAUUGGUUGCAAUGUCUAGGAGGGAUGUUCUCCUCUUCCCCUUAUUUAGUUUCCUAAUGAGUAACUGAUAUCUGAUUGGUUGGUGAGUUCAUACAGGCUUGAUAAAGAAUCAAUAUUACAUCAAGAAAUGAAUUGCACACUGCCUUCUGGCGAUUUCCUCCGAUCUGUAAGCAUGGCUAACAGACACUUUAAGAGAGCGAAAAAAAACAAAAAAGGCUAUCAUGAAAAAGGCCUUCUAUCAGAAAAUAGAAAGAUAUAGAUUCGCUCUCUCAAGAGGAAAAAAAAUCAAUUGAAAAAGCACGUGAAUAUGUUAAAAUAUUCACCACUGAAAAAAUAAAAGACGAUGAGAUUUUGUUACUCAGUAUAGGAUUAAAAUAUCUACCGUCUCCCUCGACCAAAUUUGCAAAAUCUAGUAUUGCAUCAGAUUUCAAUGAAUUUGCAAGAAAACUAAGAUGUAAAUAUCAUUUUGACAAGGGUGAAAUUUUUAAACGUCAUCCCUUUAUAACAAAAUCUGGAUAUGAACCGGUUAUGCAGGAAGUGACUGCAAAACAAAGAAAAGACACAUUAAUGGUAAAGCCCAAAUCUGUAUUACAGUCGCCUCCCUUGGUAUUCUCAACAGUGUUUUCAAGACAGAAAUCACACAUAAAGAACAAUAUCUUAAAUCAAUGGGAUACAUUGAAGGAUGACGAAGAGGCAAACAUUUUAUUUUAUUUGAUAAAAGACCUCUGUUUGCUUUCCGUAUGCAUAAAAACUUGAAAGACACAGUAACAUCAGCAACUCUGGGUAAUUGAUAUGUUGCAGAUUAUGAAAAUAGUUUCUAAACUUUGUUGUUUGUUCGUUAAAUUGAUAAACAAAGUUAAGUAGAUAAAGAGUAUAGAAAAAUAUAAAACAGAUCAUGAGGUGUCGAGCCCCUAAUAAAAAUUACAGUAUUUUUAUAAUAAG
rnacentral:lncRNA from 1 species